rnacentral:miRNA from 1 species
UGAAGGUCUAGGAUAUUUUGU